UGAGAGAACCACGUCAAAGGAACUCGGCAAAAUGCUCCCGUAAGUUCGCGAGAAGGGAGCCCCAUAUGCAGGCAACUGUGUGUGGGGGGCACAAACCAGGGGGUGGCGACUGUUUACUUAAAACACAGGGCUCUGCGAAGUCGUAAGACGACGUAUAGGGUCUGACGCCUGCCCGGUGCUGGAAGGUUAAAAGGAGGGGUGCAAGCUCUGAAUUGAAGCCCCAGUAAACGGCGGCCGUAACGAUAACGGUCCUAAGGUAGCGAAAUUCCUUGUCGGGUAAGUUCCGACCUGCACGAAUGGCGUAACGAUCUCCCCGCUGUCUCUGACGUGGACUCAGCGAAAUUGAACUGUGUGUCAAGAUGCACACUACCCGCGGUUAGACGGAAAGACCCCAUGAACCUUUACUCCAGCUUUGCACUGGCAACAGGAAUGUGAUGCGCAGGAUAGGUGGUAGGCUUUGAAGCGGGGACUCUGGUCUUCGUGGAGCCACCCUUGAGAUACCACCCUUCGCCUUCUUGUUGUCUAACCGCGGUCCGUCAUCCGGAUCCGGGACCCUGCAUGGUGGGGAGUUUGACUGGGGCGGUCGCCUCCCAAAGUGUAACGGAGGCGCGCGAAGGUUGGCUCAGACCGGUCGGAAAUCGGUCGUUGAGUGCAAUGGCAGAAGCCAGCCUGACUGCAAGACUGACAAGUCGAGCAGAGACGAAAGUCGGCCAUAGUGAUCCGGUGGUCCCAAGUGGGAGGGCCAUCGCUCAACGGAUAAAAGGUACUCUGGGGAUAACAGGCUGAUGAUGCCCAAGAGUCCAUAUCGACGGCAUCGUUUGGCACCUCGAUGUCGGCUCAUCUCAUCCUGGGGCUGGAGCGGGUCCCAAGGGUACGGCUGUUCGCCGUUUAAAGAGGUACGUGAGCUGGGUUUAGAACGUCGUGAGACAGUUCGGUCCCUAUCUGCCGUGGGUGCAGGAGACUUGAGAAGAGUUGACCCUAGUACGAGAGGACCGGGUUGAACGAACCACUGGUGGACCAGUUAUCGUGCCAACGGUAGUGCUGGGUAGCUAUGUUCGGACAGGAUAACCGCUGAAGGCAUCUAAGCGGGAAGCCCCCUUCAAAACAAGGUCUCCCUUGAGAGCCGUGGAAGACCACCACGUCGAUAGGCCAGAGGUGUAAGUGCAGCAAUGCAUUCAGCUGACUGGUACUAAUUGCUC
rnacentral:rRNA from 1 species